GAUUUCUGGUUCAGAGUGGCUGUCCCGGCCUUUCGGGGCUGUGUUGACGGCUUGCUCUAACCAUCCUUCUAGAGAACAUGUCUACCCUUCAUUGGUGUGGGCAUGCAAUCUAGAUCUUUUACUUUGAAAAAAUUAGAGUGUUCAAAGCAGGCUUACCGCUGUGAAUACAUUAGCAUGGAAUAAUAAUUUAGGACUUCGGUUCUAUUUUGUUGGUUUCUAGGACUGAAGUAAUGAUUGAUAGGGAUAGUUGGGGGUGCUAGUAUUCAGCGGCCAGAGGUGAAAUUCUCGGAUUCGCUGAAGACUAACUUAUGCGAAAGCAUU
rnacentral:rRNA from 1 species